rnacentral:tRNA from 1 species
GGAGGGAUGCCAGAGCGGCCGAAUGGGGUAGUCUUGAAAACUACUGUGGGGAAACUCACCGGGGGUUCGAAUCCCUCUCCCUCCG